GGCAUUCUGGCCUCUACUAAAGACCA
rnacentral:piRNA from 1 species